CAGAGCUGAGGACAGCAGAAACAUUCACUAAAUUGCACUUCACAGAUCAAACGCAUGGGAAAAGGACUCAAACCAAAAGGGCUACCGGUUUUUCACCUUCCUUGUUACUGGUUAAAAAAACUGAAGAAUGAGUGAAAUCCUGUGUCUGGUCAAGUCCUUCCUUUUUCAAGUGUGGGAAGCCAUGGCGUUCUGAAUACGUCGACAGAACAGGACUGCAAGACAAUUUCACAGGGGUGGCAGAGGGCCCCUUUUCACACCUGAACAGGAGGAGGCUAUUUGCACCAUGGUUGUAGAAAACAAUGCCAUAAGACUAAGGGAGAUAAAGAGUGCCAAUUGUAAUUUCAUUAUUCUUUGUGUAUUCUUUGUGUUUUCAAAUACACAGAUAUCUAGACCUCUUAACCUCCCACCUAGAUACAAAAUCCUGCAGGAUACGCCAGGUGUGAAACACACCCUAGGGGGUCGGAGCCAAUACUUGCAGCAGACGAAAGAGUGUUAAAACAAUGGGUAGGGGUGCCG